rnacentral:rRNA from 1 species
AUGGAGGCCGCGAUCGCGUGGCUGGUGGAGACCAUCCUUGCAACACUCCUGAUCGACAAGCUUGAUGCUUGGAUUCGCCAAGCCGGGCUUGCCGAUGACAUCGAGAAGCUCAAGUCGGAGAUCAGGAGAAUCAAGAUGGUGAUCUCUGCUCUCAAGGGCAGAGGGAUCCGGAAAGAGGCACUGGCUGAAUCUCUCGCCCUUCUGGAGGAUCACCUCUACGUACGACGCCGGCGACGUGGUGGACGAGCUCGACUACUACAGGCUCCAACAGCAGGUCCGGGGACAAGGGGGCACUCCCACUGCCUGGCCGCCUGCAGAUCCAAGCGUGCAUGUUGCAAGCGACGAGCGGCAAGGUGUGGAUGGAGCCGAGCGAGUCAAUGA